rnacentral:rRNA from 1 species
CAGCAGCCGCGGGAAUACGUAGGUGGCAAGCGUUGUCCGGAAUUAUUGAGCGUAAAGGGCUCGCAGGCGGUUUCUUAAGUCUGAUGUGAAAGCCCCCGGCUCAACCGGGGAGGGUCAUUGGAAACUGGGAAACUUGAGUGCAGAAGAGGAGAGUGGAAUUCCACGUGUAGCGGUGAAAUGCGUAGAGAUGUGGAGGAACACCAGUGGCGAAGGCGACUCUCUGGUCUGUAACUGACGCUGAGGAGCGAAAGCGUGGGGAGCGAACAGGAUUAGAGACCCCCGUAGUCCCUGUCUCUUAUAC